AGAACGAGCACCCCAAGAUGGAUUUGGUCUUUUUCCUGUGGCGAAAAUCUUGGCUGUUACUCUUGUGGUUGGUAUUUGAUGCCAGAACGAAGAUGAUGGUUAUGUGAUCCAGGCUCUGUGGAGGAAGAUUUGGGCUGUUGCCUUCUUGGCAUGGCUGUUCCCAGCUGGCUUGAGCCUUCAUCCUGGGCCUGACACUCAUGGCUCCCAGGAAAACCAAGGCCCAUAAUGAUGAUCCAGAGCUGAUUAUGCAUCUUUCCCAGAACAUGAAGUCUGUGAGUUGAAGCAUGAAGACCAAAAUUGGAUUUGGGCACUCUUCCUGGGUCACGUGGUCUGUGGUUCAACGUGGAGACCAAGCUGAGUGUGGUCGGAGAUCUUGGCUUGGGUGGCUUUUAAAGUGUGUUUACCAUAUAGGAUCUCUUUUUCUGCUGGUGUGUGAGGAACAUGCAGAUCAGUUACUUUUAGAAUGGAUGCCUCCAAGCUGACAUAGGCCUUUUUUCCUGAUCUUGAGGGCUGCAGUUACUGCCAUAUUAGGAGCAUAGUUUUUCUGCAUUAGGAGGAAAGAAGUCAAUAAUGGAUGCUCUGAAGUUUGCUGAAACAUACUUUCCUUGAUCUGGAAUCUGUGGUUCCCUGUAUGUGUCAGGAUUACAGGAACUAAUAAUGGGCUCACUCAGGCUGAUUCACGGAUUCCCCUGUGAGGGGCUCUGCAGUUGCCUGCAUUGAGCAAGCACCCAGGCCCCUUUGAGCAAGCUUCUGGACUCAUGCCGGUGAUCACUGACCGCAGGGGUCUGAGCUAGAGGACCAGUUGCUCGGUAUUGAACCCAGUGCAGAAUGCUUGCAAGCCCUGUGCCAUCCAGUGACACCCCCAGCCCAGGAAUUUAAGGCCCCAGAGGUGAUGCCCACGGCUACCUGAUCAUCCUGUAACACUGGGAGUAUUUUCUGUUGGGGUGAAUCGACUGGAAACUGGAGGCUUCUCCCAUGGUCACAGCUAUUUAGAAUGGCCAUGACGUGCAGACUGCAGGUCCUGAGGACCCCUCCUCACUCGUCGGCCCUGCCUGCCCCUGCUGUGAAGGAGUGGUGCCUUAGUAACGAUGCCCCCCAGGACGUGGACGCGUUCAUCCAGGGUUGCUGGCCACGAGACAUCUGUGCGGCAGAGCCUGGGAUGGAUGGUGGAUGCUCCCCGGGGCCCAGGACACCCUGCUCGGCCGCCCGUUGCUCCUGUACCUGGGUGAUGCCUUGGACAACGGAGGUGCUGAGCUGAAGUAAGAAGCCCCUUGGAUCCAGACGUCGUGGGAGGCCAUUGUGUGAGGACAGGGACCCCCAGGAGUCACUGCAGGAAGUGUCUUCCUUUGGGAAACCACCAUGGGAGAUUGCCUUAUUCCGAUGAGGAUGGCUGUUACCAAGAAGACAACAGCGGACAGUCUCUGAGGAGCAUGUGCAGAAAGGUGACCCUUGCACACUGUCGGUGGGAAGUGCGCCCGUCUUAGCCAGUAGAGGAACCGAGAGAUCAGCUCCUACUGCUCCACUUCUUUGAGCUGAUGAAGAGCUCUUCAAGGCCAGGCGCUCAGUGCUGCAUCUCUGUUCGGAGCCCAGAAUCAAUAAUGGCCGCUCCGGAGAGCUUCUCAUUCCUCCAGGGUCAGCAGCAGACAGUUUCCUCACCGUGUUCAAACCAGGGACAAAGAAUGGAUGCUCUCUAGAUGACUUAUGUGUUCUGUGCAAGUCGGUUGCCUGCCUCUCUGGACGAUACCUUGAACCACAAAUGGCUGUGUGAAUUCUGCCAGGAUCACGACAGUGCUGGACACCCUUGUGGCUGGGGAGAGACCACUUGGGAUCGUGAGCCAGAUAGAGGUUGAUUAAUGAAAGACCCAUAGUCUAGUGUGGAAAAGAAGCCAAUAGGAAGAGAUUAGAUUUGUCAAGCAUCAUCUUCUUUAGUUUUUGCUGAUGUAAGAACUCUCCAUGGCCAGUCGAUCCAUGAUUCCGUCUGUAUUCAGAGGCUGGAUGUUGACUUGCGUACCAGAGUACUCAUCUUGAUUCCGGUGUUAUGUAAUGGUGCUCCCCAGAGGCUCCCACAUCCCACCUGGUCACUACUAGCCUAUGGUUGUUCUCUGGAUUAUGCCUUGGACCAUGCAGGGAGUGCUGAGCUGGUGUGAGGAGCCCCUGUGUAAUCCCCAAGACCACUAUGAGUCACAGCUGAAGUUGUUCUCUUAUUUGGUCUCCAGCAGAGAGCACCGAGCUGGCGUGAGAAUCCCCCUGACCUCCUCUUCCUGUGAAGCUCUUAGACUAUGCAGAGACUAUUGUUAAUGGAAGAUUCAUCUGCCUCGUAUUAUCCAGAUCUCAGCUAUACUGACUUAGUUCCAACCAGCCCCUUGGAAGCAAUCAAGUUGGGUCUUCAUGCUGGCCUUGAACUCGUGGC